ACACCACAGACACAGAGGAGGUAGGCUUUCUCCUGCUCAGUGGGCCUUGGCCAGCAGCAAGUCCACCUGAAAAGUCACCUUCAUUUCUCCUUGACUUGUUUUGUGCUCGUGAUGGCCACAGGGCAGCUUUCACAGGUGAAAGUAUUUGUGCACUGAUCAGCUUCAGAAAUGACCAAUUUCCAGGCUGGAAGUCAUCAGAGAAGGAGCUGAAAUGUCACUGUCUGUAUUUCAAAGGCCACAGCUACCUUAAAGUGGUGGUACAGUAUGGUAUGACAACUGGCCUUCAGGAGAUCGCUGUUCCUCUUGUGUCCGGACAGUCUGGGCUCUGACCGAGCACUGUACCACCGUACACUAUCCGCACUGUACAGUGAGUGCACAGCAGCACAGCUAUGACAGUGUCCGGCAGACACGAUCAAAAGAAGCAUGAGGAAUGAAGUUCCAGGUACACCAGGAGAUGGAAUCCAAGAGGCAAAUAUUUAUGAAGAAAGAAGACGUAGUAAGACAUACCACACUACCAUGGCUUUUGGGGGAUAUCUUGGACUGUCACAGAGGUGAAAGGUAGCAGCACACUCACAUCUAAGACUGCUCAGUAACCACAGAUAUUUCAAGACUCUCAUGGAUACAGUGUUUUAGAAACCUUGAAGCACCACCAACCCCAACAUAGUUGUAAAUUCACUCUCAUGUUCCACCGAUGCCCUUGUUCUAGUCAGAAGGCUUGCAUCCUGUCUGAUAAGAGGAGGAGGAGGAAGAGGUGGAGGAAUAAGAAGAGGAAGAGGAGGAGGAGAAGAAGAAAGAGAAGAAGAGGAGGAGGAAGAAGUAAAGAAAAUCAUGGGACCUAGCAUACUAUAGCAUUGUCUAAAUUCACAAAUUAUCCUGCCUUUGAAGUUGGUAUUUAUUAGUUUUCACCCUUGCUAUGAUUCAGAUCUAAGUUAUCCUCCAGGAGUCUCAUGUUCUGAGGUUCAGAGGUGAGACUUUUGGAAGGUGAUUGGACUACGGGGGGCUACACUCAUAGGUGUAUUGAUCCAUUGAUGAAUUCAUAGCUAAAUGUGCUAAGAUGUGAGGCCUGUUCCCAUCCACAUGGCUAGUGGUUGGCUUACUGCUUGGCGUGUAGCCAUGGAGAAAGAAAAAUUGUGCCAGGUCAAUUACAUAGUUAAGGAAGACUUUACUGAAGAUUAGUGCAAUACGGGUGAUAGGUUGAACCCAAUCACACAGGAAAACGAUGGGCGAGCUUUUACAUGCUGUGGUGAGCCAGGGGAACUUGCUGAAGAGACCAGGGGAAGGACGGGGUUGUGCUUAGACCAUGUGUGCUUGUUAGUUGGCGCCCAUGUCUCCCGCAGAGAGCAGGAGGCAGGAUACCUGUGUUCCUUGGUGAUGAAAUUUCAAAAACAAGUUUCACAGGUUCUUGAGAAAGAUAUCGCAGGGCUGAAGGAGAUUUAUAUCUCAAAGAGCAAAGAAAGAAUCUACAAUUGCAAAUUUGUGCGAAUGAAUUCUCCAAGGAAAGGGAACACAGGACUAGAGUCAGGAAGGAGCCCGUAGAAAGCUUAGUCAUUUUGACAGGGACACUACAGGGGUCUUUUUAGUGAGUGAUCUCCAUAUCAUGCUAUGCUGGUGUUUAUAUGGCCACUUACUAAGUAGGCCAGUGAUGUGCAACUAAAAAUCCUAAAACAUUUUGUAUGUGCAGUUUAAUUUCUUAGACUUAAUCCUUCAAGAUGUGAUUUUAACAAUUAGUUUAUAGACAGAAGAUCUUAAUCCCUUGCAUUUUCCUACAAAGAAACACAUGCUCUAUGAGAUCAAAGACUAGUUUGGCCUCCCAUCUCCUUGUGCUGGAUAUGGAAUAUUUGUGAGAAUUUUUUUUCCCCACUGCUGUGUGUGGAAAUAGCAAUCUUCCACAAGACACAGUAAACAAAUGCAGGUUAGUUUGAAAUGUAAUGGUCACCUACUGGUAAACACCUGGGUUUCAGGCCAGUCUUCCAGGUGGAAGUACUGGUUCUGUUACUUCAUAAUUAUAGGAACUGGGACAAGUCACAUAAACUCUCUGCCUCUUUGUUUAAUCCUCUGUAAAUGAAGCAAAUACCUAUUGUGGCGAGGUUGCUGGCAGGACUGGAGGAGAGGCUGCCCAUCAAAGCACCCUGUCCCACUGCACAGAGCACACAGAAAGGUGUGGCUGAGCCAUCCCGGAGUCAGCCAGUCUCUAGGUGAGGCUGGCACAGGGAGCCACAGAGAGCUGGGUGCUGCUAAUCAAGCCUUUCAACUUCGAAUAAUGAACCUUCAUUUUGAUUUUGAAUCGACUUUUUCUGCUUGAAUACUUUAUUGGAGCCUUUGUUUCUGCUUAAUUGUUUUAUUUUCAUGACGCUGUGGUUUGAUUCGGAGAGGGAGAAGUUGCUUUGUUUAUCUAAUUCCCUAAUUAAGCUGCCCUAUGGAGGGGCUACAGUCAGUCCCUCAGGCGCUGAAUGAGAGAAGCUAAUCACCACCACAGAGCCCAGCGCAGGAGUCGCUUGGGGAGGAAACUGAUUGUUUUGGAUGUGAAUGCUGCCAAUCAGACUUGGCUGGAGUUUGAAGUCUGCCCCACAGUCUAAGGUUUCAUGCAGUAGAUGUUUCCCUUAUGCUGCUGAGUACCAAGUUUUAGAUUUCAUUGCUCUUUUAAAUAGCACCCUGCCUUCUCUGCUUAAAGACCAGACUGUCCAUCAAAAUGGGUCCUUCAGACUGUUUAGGACUUGCGUCUUUCCAAAGCUUUUUUUACAGCCAUCCUCUUUCACCUCUGUUGAAUCCAAUCUCAGUGUUUCCGGCUGAAGAACCCAUUGGACAUCUGGCCUAACCAAGGACAAUAAGCUAUGAAAAGGUUAGGGCAGCCCCAGAGCUUGGCCCCGGGCCUGGCCACCACAGGGGAUGCCCUGAAUUAAUAAAAAUGAAGAACUGCUUUUCUGUUCUUGUUCCUUAAGCCUUGGGACUAGUAAUCCUACUUUCAUGACUGAACAAGUGAUAUGUACUCCUACCCAAAGUAGGAACAUGCUACGGGUCGUUUGGUACCUGCGCCUUGCCUUCAGAAUAACAGGCACACAUGGAGGGAAAUUACAAAGAGAAACAAGACAACAACAGAAAUGGAAGUAGAAGAAAGCAUACUGUCAACACAUGUUCUGGGUUUGCAGGCUGGCUCUGGACAAGUCCUUAUUUCUCCAGUGGGCAAUUUGGUCUCCAUGAGAUGAUUGUUUCUUCUUGGUGCAGUCUCAGUUUUGUGAGGGUUCUGCUGGAAUCCAAGCUUUCAGACAGACAUUGCCUAAAUAAUUAAGAUGCCUGUACGCAGACCUGACCAAGGAUCUGACCCAAAGUUUAAGGUCAUACGGGAGACAAGUACCAGCAAAAAUAAAUUUUAAUCCCAACUGUCUCAGAAGAAGUCACAAAUCAAGCUUUUAAGGAGGAACAGACCACAUGUUCAAGAUGGCAGCACGAGAAGAUAAAGGAAUGCAGGUCCCUAUACUGGUCCUGGAAGAGCAGCUACUCCUGAGAGUCUAGGACCUCCUCAGACACUUUGCAAAUAAAGCACGUAUCUUUGCUUUGUUAAAUCUAUGAUAUUUUAAGUAUUAUUCAUCAUACAUUCCUCACUAAGCCAUGUUGACAAACAGCCUUCAAAUUCCCUGCUCCUAGGGACAAAAUCUUGUAUUUUAAUGUAUUACAAGUAGAUGUUAAUAAAGAAGAUAUA